rnacentral:rRNA from 1 species
UGGGGAAUAUUGGACAAUGGGGGAAACCCUGAUCCAGCAAUGCCGCGUGUGUGAAGAAGGCCUGCGGGUUGUAAAGCACUUUCAGUAGGGAAGAUGAUGACGGUACCUACAGAAGAGGCACCGGCUAACUCCGUGCCAGCAGCCGCGGUAAUACGGAGGGUGCGAGCGUUAAUUGGAAUUACUGGGCGUAAAGCGCACGUAGGUGGUUUGGUAAGUCGGAUGUGAAAUCCCCAGGCUUAACCUGGGAACUGCAUUCGAUACUGCCUCACUAGAGUCUGGCAGAGGGAUGCGGAAUUCCGGGUGUAGCGGUGAAAUGCGUAGAGAUCCGGAGGAACAUCGGUGGCGAAGGCGGCAUCCUGGGCUAAGACUGACACUGAGGUGCGAAAGCGUGGGG